GAGUUUGAUCUUGGCUCAGGACGAACGCUGACGGCGUGCCUAACACAUGCAAGUCAAGGGUAGUUUACUACACUGGCGCACGGGUGAGUAACGCGUAGAUUACCUGCCCCUAUCCCUGUGAUAACUUCGGGAAACCGGUGCUAAACACAGAUGAGGCCUACGGGUCAAAAGUAAUGGAUUGGGAUGGGUCUGCGUCUGAUUAGCUAGUUGGUAAGGUAAUGGCUUACCAAGGCAUCGAUCAGUAACGGGUCUGAGAGGAUGAUCCGUCACACUGGAACUGAGACACGGUCCAGACUCCUACGGGAGGCAGCAGUGAGGAAUUUUGGUCAAUGGGGGAAACCCUGAACCAGCGACGCCGUGUGUGGGAUGAAGGUGCUCUGCAUUGUAAACCACUGUCAGAUGGGAAAAAAAGCUUCUUUGAGAGGCUGGGAUUGUACCAUCAGAGGAAGGACCGGCUAACUACGUGCCAGCAGCCGCGGUAAUACGUAGGGUCCGAGCGUUAUCCGGAUUUACUGGGCAUAAAGGGUCCGCAGGCGGUCUCAUACGUCAAAGGUUAAAGACCUCGGCCCAACCGAGGAGAUGCCUUUGAAACGGUAAGACUUGAAUAUGAGAGAGGUAAGUAGAAUUCCUGGUGUAGCGGUGAAAUGCGUAGAUAUCAGGAGGAAUACCAGUGGCGAAGGCGGCUUACUGGCUCAUUAUUGACGCUCAGGGACGAAAGCGUGGGGAGCGAACAGGAUUAGAUACCCUGGUAGUCCACGCCCUAAACGAUGUAUGCUUGGUGUUUGUGCUACGCACGAGUGCCGGAGGAAAUCCGUUAAGCAUACCGCCUGGGGAGUACGAUCGCAAGGUUGAAACUCAAAGGAAUUGACGGGGGCCCGCACAAGCGGUGGAUUAUGUGGUUUAAUUCGAUGCAACGCGAAGAACCUUACCUGGGCUUGAAGUGCAGUAGACAGUUUGUGAAAGCAAAUCUUCCUUCGGGACUGCUGCAGAGGUGCUGCAUGGUUGUCGUCAGCUCGUGCCGUGAGGUGUUGGGUUAAGUCCCGCAACGAGCGCAACCCCUAUCUUUAGUUGCCAGCACGUAAUGGUGGGAACUCUAAAGAGACUGCCCGCGUAAGCGGAGAGGAAGGUGGGGACGACGUCAAGUCAUCAUGGCCCUUAUGUCCAGGGCUACACACGUGAUACAAUGGCAUACACAAAGGGCGAAGCCGCAAGGUGGAGGAAAUCCAUAAAGUAUGUCUCAGUUCGGAUUGAAGUCUGCAACUCGACUUCAUGAAGUUGGAAUCGCUAGUAAUCGUAGAUCAGCUCGCUACGGUGAAUACGUUCCCGGGCCUUGUACACACCGCCCGUCAAGCCAUGGAAGUCGGAGGCGCCCGAAGCGGACUCGCGUUCGUUAAGGCAAACUUGGUAACUGGGGCUAAGUCGUAACAAGGUAGCCGUA
rnacentral:rRNA from 1 species